rnacentral:lncRNA from 12 species
AGGAGAGCCAACAUUCACCCACCCUGAGUAGGAGGUAAACAUUUGGCUGCCUUGUUUUGGUUUUUGUAGUACAAAACAGCUGUUAAAAAUGUUUAAAGAUGUAUAUGAGAUGGCUUAGUACAGUUUCACUCAGGCAAGGUGCCAGGGCAUGUUAUGUAAAGUGUUGAUCUUCUCUGCAUUUUAAAUUGAAUAUAGAACAGUCCAGUUCCAGCCCUCCUUCCUGGCAAUGGGCCCAGCCUCGGGCACUUCCAUAUAAACUGGGCUUCUCGUGGCUGCCCAAGGUAUCAGCAGGACUCAGAGACUGCAGAGAUGAUGGUUUUGUUCUUCUCAGGAAUCAAGAAAAUGCUCUUCCUCUAGUUCCUCUCAUGCUUUUGUUCUGGCCUGCUUGCAUCUCCCCUGCUGCGUUUCCCCACCUUCCUGGAUCCUUCCAGCAUGUUCUACCUCUGCUGGGACCACAAGGAACAGGAGCUGAUGGGGUUGAGCUGCACAUCCACACAACUGGCUGGGUGGCAUCUGGAUUCAGCCCUCAUGGAGAGCUGCCUGGGUCUGACGUUGUGACAAGAGGUGCCUUCCAAAAGGGCAGCAUCUGCUUCUCUAGACCCAUCAAACUGAACUGACCCAAGAAGGUUCUUCACCUCUGACCUGAGACUGCACAAUGUUGUGUUUGCUUGGCUUCUCUGGGCCUCUGAUUAUGGGACAUGAGGCACGGAAUACCAGAUCACAUCCUUGGCCCUUUGAAGAAGCCUCUGCCAUUAACACUGGCG